GGUUAAGCGACUAAGCGUACACGGUGGAUGCCCUGGCAGUCAGAGGCGAUGAAGGACGUGCUAAUCUGCGAAAAGCGUCGGUAAGGUGAUAUGAACCGUUAUAGCCGGCGAUGUCCGAAUGGGGAAACCCAGUGCAAUUCGUUGCACUAUCGUUUGAUGAAUACAUAGUCAAACGAGGCGAACCGGGGGAACUGAAACAUCUAAGUACCCCGAGGAAAAGAAAUCAACCGAGAUUCCCCCAGUAGCGGCGAGCGAACGGGGAGCAGCCCGGAGUCUGAAUCAGCUUGUGUGUUAGUGGAAGCGUCUGGAAAGUCGCAGGGUACAGGGUGAUACUCCCGUACACUAAAACACACAGGCUGUGAACUCGAAGAGUAGGGCGGGACACGUGGUAUCCUGUCUGAAUAUGGGGGGACCAUCCUCCAAGGCUAAAUACUCCUGACUGACCGAUAGUGAACCAGUACCGUGAGGGAAAGGCGAAAAGAACCCCGGCGAGGGGAGUGAAAAAGAACCUGAAACCGUGUACGUACAAGCAGUAGGAGCCCCACCACCAAAGCGUUUCGCUUUGCGUGGUGCGCAAAAUGCGUAACGACAGCAUGAUGGACGGUUAACGGAGCGUCAGCGACGUUCAACCUCAAAAAUCAGGCAGUGGAGCGUUUUGGGGUGGGGUGACUGCGUACCUUUUGUAUAAUGGGUCAGCGACUUAUAUUCUGUAGCAAGGUUAACCG
rnacentral:rRNA from 1 species